rnacentral:rRNA from 1 species
UACGAAGGGGGCUAGCGUUGCUCGGAAUCACUGGGCGUAAAGCGCACGUAGGCGGAUUGCUAAGUCAGGGGUGAAAUCCUGGAGCUCAACUCCAGAACUGCCUUUGAUACUGGCGACUCGUAGUCCGGGAGAGGUGAGUGGAACUGCGAGUGUAGAGGUGAAAUUCGUAGAUAUUCGCAAGAACACCAGUGGCGAAGGCGGCUCACUGGCCCGGUACUGACGCUGAGGUGCGAAAGCGUGGG